GUAAGGCCAAAUUUUGGGGGAGGGAGCAGGGUGCUGGGAGUGGGAUGGGGGGACAGAUUCACCAAGCUGGGAACAAAUAAAACAUAGCAGCAUAUAUCACCAACAGCUGAGGAAACAUCAUCAUCAUCAGAGCAUACCUUCUGUGGAGAUAAGUCAUGAAUAUUUUUUUGCCAUUCAAAACAAAAACUUUACCUGGACCAAGUCUCUUUUUUGUUUACCUAAGAUUUCUCUGGAAUACAUCCUGGAUACAGAGUUCUUGAAUCAUCGGAGUCCACACCUUUACAUUACUAGCUUCAGCUGUCUGGAAAACUUUCUCAAGGAGAUGAACAAAAACUGGCCAUUCCAUUACAUUGGAAAGUCAAGAUAUGGGGACAUCAACAAGAGCCUUUCUUUGACCGCUGGAACUCUUACCUCUCAACUUCGACCUGGGAGGCAGUCAUCAUGCCCUAUUUUACACUGCAUCAUGUCGUGCCCUGAUCUAUGUGAUCACCUUGCCCUUUAUCAGUGAUGAUGUUACUGUUAUUCACUGCUACAGAUCUCAUGGUUCAAAGCACUGAACUCUUGUUACAUAGAAACAAUGUUUGGAAUACUCUUGUAUCCAAAACAACUUUCAGUGCAUUUGAGGUAUCCCAUUAGUAAAAACCCACCGACAAACGCGUAAACAUAUUUUUGAGUGCCCUUACACUGAAACCUCUAUUUGCCCCCCUCUGAAACUGACAUUUGUUUAGUCUUUUUUGUUUGGAGUGUAAAAACUGAACAAGUAGAAAACUGAAACUGUGUAAACUUUGUGACUGUCUAUAGCACGUCAGUGAUCCAGAAUGUAUGUGUAACCAUUGAAAAAAGCAGCAGAAAUGCAACAUCACUAACAUUUCGAUCUUAGCGCAGAACAAACUCAGCUUUGAGAUAAGUGGGUAGGUUAUGGGGAGUGAAAAUAACCAUGUUUCUGUUGGUCAAGACCCUUCUCCACAAUGUCAACAGCUCUCAGUUUCAACAAAGAUGCUUUCAAAAAUAUAUUGAUUAGAUUUGCUCCUGAAUUUCGAGUUCAGAUCAUCUAAAAUUCAAAGAUGUUCCUGACCAUUUCAACCUGGUUUAAAGGUCGCUGAAGACAGAACAAAAACUUUCACUGUGGACUGAGAGACAUGACGAUAGGAGUGAGGGUUUGAUGAUUGAGAGUGAAGGAAAUAAGAGUAUGGUCUCCUGAUCUCAAUGUACCAGACAAAUACAGACACAUGAGAGAAGCACGGGAGGUUUUAGCUAUGUGUCUCUCAGAGCACCAAGUAAUCUGAGCUAAUCACGAUCCAAUUAAGCAGUGUUUGAGAUUUCUUUGCUAGCAGCUAUUAAUUAAGAUUCAAAAAUCUCAUUUUUUUUUCUUGUCAAGUCCGUCGUGCUAUGUAACUUGUCUUUUAAUGUUUCAAACAGCUCUGGCAUGGCCAUACAGGAGAUGUGGGAAGUGGAGAAAGGCCUAUGCCCUUUUCAACAAAAGCGUCUUUGUGUUUAUAAUAAUCUGUGAGGUCUGAAGUCCAUUUUUGUAAUUCUUUCUCGUUCUUUUUUCCACACUGCAUUAGCAUAGCAUGUGUUUCAUGUGUUUAACAAUUCCUACAUUAUGCCAUCCAGAUGGUAGAACCUUGGAAAGUUUGGUUCUAACCACGGUGCUGUAUACUUAAUAAAUAUGUGCUGACAUUAA